CAGUCGCCGCGGGAAUACAGAGGGUGCGAGCGUUAAUCGGAUUUACUGGGCGUAAAGCGUGCGUAGGCGGCUUCUUAAGUCGGAUGUGAAAUCCCUGAGCUUAACUUAGGAAUUGCAUUCGAUACUGGGAGGCUAGAGUAUGGGAGAGGAUGGUAGAAUUCCAGGUGUAGCGGUGAAAUGCGUAGAGAUCUGGAGGAAUACCGAUGGCGAAGGCAGCCAUCUGGCCUAAUACUGACGCUGAGGUACGAAAGCAUGGGGAGCAAACAGGAUUAGAUACCCCGGUAGUCCCUGUCUCUUAUAC
rnacentral:rRNA from 1 species